rnacentral:rRNA from 1 species
GACGAACGCUGGCGGCGUGCCUAACACAUGCAAGUCGUGCGAGAAAGUUCCUUCGGGAGCGAGUAAAGCGGCGCACGGGUGAGUAACACGUAGGUAACCUGCCCCCCAGUCUGGAACAACUAGAGGAAACUCUAGCUAAUGCCGGAUGAGACCACGAUCCCUUCGGGGGUUGCGGCCCAAAAGGAUGGCCUCUACUUGUAAGCUAUCGCUGAGGGAUGGGCCUGCGGGCCAUUAGCUUGUUGGUGAGGUAACGGCUCACCAAGGCUGUGAUGGCUAGCUGGUCUGAGAGGAUGACCAGCCACACUGGGACUGAGACACGGCCCAGACUCCUACGGGAGGCAGCAGUGGGGAAUAUUGCGCAAUGGGCGAAGCCUGACGCAGCGACGCC